AGGGACAUGGUGUAACGGCAGCACGUCCGGCUCCAAUCCGGAAGAUGAGGGUUCGAUUCCUUCUGUCCCUGCCG
rnacentral:tRNA from 1 species